rnacentral:rRNA from 1 species
AGAGUUUGAUCCUGGCUCAGAACGAACGCUGGCGGCGUGGCUAAGACAUGCAAGUCAAACGGACCAUACAAUUGAGUAAUCGAGAGUAUGGUUAGUGGCGAAAGGGUUAGUAAUGGAUAGGUAACGUACCCCGUACUCCGGGAUAGCGUCGGGUGCUUGCACCCUACCGAAAGGGGCGGAAAUACCGGAUAAUAUCAUAAGUCGACAGGCUUAUGAUCAAAGAUUUAUCGGCACGGGAGCGGCCUAUCUCCUAUCAGCUUGUUGGUGAGGUAAAAGCUCACCAAGGCAAUGACGGGUAGCGGGACUGAGAGGUUGACCCGCAACAUCGGGACUGAGACACUGCCCGGACCUCCACGGAGGGCUGCAGUAACGAAUAUUGCGCAAUGGGCGAAAGCCUGACGCAGCGACGCCGCGUGUAGGAGGAAGUCUUUCGGGAUGUAAACUACUGUCAGGGGUAAGAAAGUGCGCUUCGGCGUAUUGAUCUAACCCAGAGGAAGUCACGGCUAACUUCGUGCCAGCAGCCGCGGUAAGACGAAGGUGGCAAGCGUUGUUCGGUGUUACUGGGCUUAAAGCGUGUGUAGGCGGGACAGUAAGCGUCUUGUGAAAACCCUCGGCUUAACCGAGGAAUUGCUCGGCGAACUGCUGUUCUUGAGGCAGGUAGGGGUGCAUGGAACUCUUGGUGGAGCGGUGGAAUGCGUAGAUAUCAAGAGGAACGCCAGUGGUGAAAACGGUGCACUGGGCCUGUCCUGACGCUGAGACACGAAAGCGUGGGGAGCGAACGGGAUUAGAUACCCCGGUAGUCCACGCCGUAAACGAUGUCUACUAGGUUGUGGUGGUUCUGACGCCAGCACGGCCGAAGCAAAAGUGUUAAGUAGACCGCCUGGGGAGUACGGUCGCAAGGCUAAAACUCAAAGGAAUUGACGGGGGCUCACACAAGCGGUGGAGCAUGUGGAUUAAUUCGAAGCAACGCGCAGAACCUACCUGGGUUUGACAUGCUUGGAUGCUAUCCUGGAAACAGGGGAUGCUGCCCUUCGGGGUGAAACUUGCACAGGUGCUGCAUGGCUGUCGUCAGCUCGUGUCGUGAGAUGUCGGGUUAAGUCCUUUAACGAGCGAAACCCUUACCGUUAGUUGCCAGCGCGUCAUGGCGGGGACUCUAGCGGGACUGCCGGUGUGAAACCGGAGGAAGGUGGGGAUGACGUCAAGUCAUCAUGGCCUUUAUGCCCAGGGCCUCACACGUGCUACAAUGGCGACGACAAAGUGACGCAAGACCGCGAGGUGGAGCAAAUCGCAAAAACGUCGCCCCAGUUCGGAUUGCAGGCUGGCAAUUCGCCUGCAUGAAGUCGGAAUCGCUAGUAAUCGCGUAUCAGCUAUGACGCGGUGAAUAUGUUCCUGAGCCUUGUACACACCGCCCGUCAAGUGAUGGGAGUUGGGAGUACCCGAAGUCGGGUUGCUAACCCUCCGGGGAGGCGCCUGCCGACGGUAAGCCCGAUGACUGGCACUAAGUCGUAACAAGGUA